GCCAGCUUAGCUCAGCGGUAGAGCAGCUGUUUCGUAAACAGCAGGUCUCGAGUUCAAUUCUCGAAGCUGGCU
rnacentral:tRNA from 1 species